AAUUUGUUUGAGAUAGAGGAUGCUAAAUAUCAUGUCAUUCAAUCAAGAAGAUCUUACCUAAGGGGUUCUCAAGAUGAAAAUGGAAACAACUCUACUUCAAGAAAUGAAGCUCCAAGAUGUUCAUUUGGAAUACCACUGCGUAAAUCUGUUGAAAAUGCCAAAUCUUACAAAGAUACUAACUCUUCUAAAACUAAAAGUCAAUUUGCCAAGACCAGACAAGGAUAAUCAAAUGACUGAAACAAAUGGAACCAGUGUUCAUAUGGUUUAUUUUAAGUCACUUAUUAUUUGUAUACUAUGUGGAUUUGUGUUGUUAUCAUUUAUCAUCUUAUUCCAUUACUAGUUAGCUUCACAUACUUGUGGAUGUUUCCGGCUUGAAUAUAAUUGCCUCAAAUGCAAGGAUACGAAACAACAAAAAAAUCAGCAUGUUAAUAAUAAGUCUUAAUUUUCAGAAAUUUUCCUGUGCUUUAAUGUCAUUGUUGUAGCAAUCAUCAUAAAACAAGUUACAAUAUAUGAUCACUUAAUGAUAAUUUGUGUAUUAGUGGAGUUGGAUUAAGUGACCUAUGGGGCAUUUGGAUUGUGAUUUUCUCCUAUUAGGAGUGAUAUGUGGG
rnacentral:lncRNA from 1 species